GAACUGCAAAGAUGUUGUGGCAUGCGUCUGCCGCAGCGGUGCGCCCGCGUUGACAGCAGCGCAGGAAACACUGCCAUAGAGCAAAAACAUCGAGCUUCAGAUUCAGAAGAAGAGCUAAGGACAAAACGAAGUCGCUUUAAAGACAUUUUAUCGUAGAAAUAGAUAUUUUAACCAACUUUACUGCUCUAUAAUGGAUGCAAUUGGACAAGCUUUAAGCGGGAACGUACUUACAGAAUAUGGGAUGUGUUUGCACCGUUAUACCCAGCCAACCGAAACAGAGCUCUGGGACAUGUGGACAGACAUUGACUGUAAUGAUGGACAUCUGCACAUGCACAGGCAAGAAGCAUAACCCCUUCUGGACAUCGUGCUGGAGCUCGGGGGGGACCCCAUGAUCCCCCACACCUUCUCACUCACGCCACACCAUUCACUCAUAUCGCGGAGAUCUGGCUGGAUUCGAACCAGCAACCUCUGAACCGUGAGGCAGUGCUCUUACCGCUGAGCCACAGAUCUCUUAUAUGAACAUGUGCAGGAACUUAUAUUUCACUAUUUACAUGUAUGUGACUUGGGAUUUUACAAUAAACCAAUUAAAGUUACAAGCUAACACUGAGCUAGGGUUUGAAGCCAUGACUCCAUCGCAACCACGUCCACAACUAACGUGUGUUUUGCCACUGCACCAUCACAGCUUCCACACUGAGUGGUAGGAUUUGGGGCACUUUGUUGGAUAUAAUCACAUCAAUUUAAUGUUAAGAAGAAUUGGAUUUGAACCUCUGACUCUAUUAUAAACUUGUCUGUAGCUAACAGGUGCAUAUCCAUUGCACCAUUAUGGCUUUCAUACUGUGAGAUGGCAUUUGGGACACUUUGUUGGAUAUAAUGACAACAAUUUAACCUAUGCAAGAAUGGGAUUUGAACCCAUAAUUCCAUUGCAACCUUGUCUGCAACUAACGUGUGUUCAGCCACUGUACCAUUGUGGCUUUCACGCCAAAAAAUGGCAUUUAGGACACUUUGCUGAAUAUAAUGAAAACAAUUUAAUUUAUGCAAGAGUCAGAUUUGAACCCAUAAUCCCAUCGCAACCUUGUCUGCAACUUAGUAUGUUUAAGCCACUGCUCUACCAUGGCUUUCACAACAAGAAAUGGCAUUUAGAACACUUUGUUAUUAUAAAAUAAUUGUAAAACAUUUAUUAUAAAAUGUGGUAUUUGUACUGUAAAACAAGGCAAAAAUACUGAGUAAGAAUUUUUUUUUUGCAUUGUAGGUGGUUGUCACUCUAUGCUAGACAUACACUGUACCAUAUCUGACUCUAGGUUCAGGGUGAAUAAGACAUGUUAUGUUAUGACUAGAGUGAGUCGAAGCUGGUGAUGUAUAUUCUAGGAGGCGUCCAUCUGUUGCUUGGAGAGUCAUGAGUCACGGGCCCAUAUUCAUGACCUCAUAUGAAUGUUUCUAGGGGUUUGGAGCAGAAGGUGGAAGACGGAAAUGUCUAUGCAACCCAAAACCUUGGACCAGAGAGGUGAUGGUCAACUCAGAUUACAGACUGUGACCUCUGUGUGGUUGACAGCUGACUUUGAGAGGAAAAAAGGUCACUGCUGAUGUCUAGCAGAACCAGACCUAUAGCAAAACCCAAUGACACUUGUAAAAAAAAAAAAAAAAGGGUAAGGUAAGAUUUGAAUGGUUCAACUUACUAUAAUCAUAACAUUCAUAACAUACAUAGGCCCUAAUGCACAGAAAUCAUGCUUGAAUUAACGAUUAUGUGCUCUUCAUUAAAUAGCUGUCUGUAUUUUCUUUUACUUUAGCCUUUUUGCAGACCAAUGUGUUUAUUCAACAUGUUCCAAUUUGGCGCAAAUCCAUUCCACCGUUUUGCUUUCGGAAAAUGAGAGCAGGACUCGAAAACCCUGAAUGCUAAAGUGUUCUUCAGAGCACCUGCACGCUCGAAUGGGCUUCAGAUGGCAAUUAGGAAAUGGCCUGUGAAAUGACUUGAUAACAGCAGAAUCCAGAGAUAGUGGAGUCCAAUUCGUUUAAAGCUGAGUAUUUGUGGCCGCUGGGGCUUGGGGGCAGAGGCUUGCUGAUAGUACAUUAAAUUAUGUCUUGACCACAGCAGCCUGAAGUCAGCCUUGAAAAACAUCAUUCAGCUGAUGCAAAGUCAGAGAAACUCAAAAGCCCUCUAAUAAUACAGCAGCAUCCGAGCGAACACAGGAUAAGCUCUCCCUUCAUUCACUGUCAUUCACAACCACAAAUAAAUAAAUAACCAUCCACCAGUUGACCAAAAAUUUUUAUUGUUAUUGUCAA